rnacentral:rRNA from 1 species
CUACGGGUGGCUGCAGUGGGGAAUAUUGGGCAAUGGGGGCAACCCUGAUCCAGCCAUGCCGCGUGUGUGAAGAAGGCCUUUUGGUUGUAAAGCACUUUAAGCAGGGAGGAGAGGCUAAUGGUUAAUACCCAUUAGAUUAGACGUUACCUGCAGAAUAAGCACCGGCUAACUCUGUGCCAGCAGCCGCGGUAAUACAGAGGGUGCGAGCGUUAAUCGGAAUUACUGGGCGUAAAGCGAGUGUAGGUGGCUCAUUAAGUCCCAUGUGAAAUCCCCGGGCUUAACCUGGGAACUGCAUGUGAUACUGGUGGUGCUAGAAUAUGUGAGAGGGAAGUAGAAUUCCAGGUGUAGCGGUGAAAUGCGUAGAGAUCUGGAGGAAUACCGAUGGCGAAGGCAGCUUCCUGGCAUAAUAUUGACACUGAGAUUCGAAAGCGUGGGUAGCAAACAGGAUUAGAUACCCCCGUAGUC